rnacentral:rRNA from 1 species
CUCAGAACGAACGCUGGCGGCAGGCCUAACACAUGCAAGUCGAGCGCGCCCUUCGGGGUGAGCGGCGGACGGGUUAGUAACGCGUGGGAACGUACCCUUUGGUAGGGAAUAGCCACUGGAAACGGUGAGUAAUACCCUAUGAGCCCUUCGGGGGAAAGAUUUAUCGCCAAAGGAUCGGCCUGCGUUAGAUUAGGUAGUUGGUGGGGUAAUGGCCUACCAAGCCUACGAUCUAUAGCUGGUUUUAGAGGAUGAUCAGCAACACUGGGACUGAGACACGGCCCAGACUCCUACGGGAGGCAGCAGUGGGGAAUCUUGGACAAUGGGGGCAACCCUGAUCCAGCCAUGCCGCGUGAGUGAAGAAGGCCUUAGGGUCGUAAAGCUCUUUCGCCUGUGAAGAUAAUGACGGUAGCAGGUAAAGAAACCCCGGCUAACUCCGUGCCAGCCGCGGC